rnacentral:rRNA from 1 species
CAAGUCGAACGAGAAAGUGGAGCAAUCCAUGAGUAAAGUGGCGCACGGGUGAGUAACACGUGACUAACCUACCCUUGAGUGGGGAAUAACCUAGGGAAACCUGGGCUAAUACCGCAUAACACCUACGGGUCAAAGGAGCAAUUCGCUUAAGGAGGGGGUCGCGGCAGAUUAGCUAGUUGGCGGGGUAAUGGCCCACCAAGGCGGUGAUCUGUAUCCGGCCUGAGAGGGCGCACGGACACACUGGAACUGAAACACGGUCCAGACUCCUACGGGAGGCAGCAGUGGGGAAUUUUGCGCAAUGGGGGAAACCCUGACGCAGCAACGCCGCGUGGAGGAUGAAGUCCCUUGGGACGUAAACUCCUUUCGAUCGGGACGAUUAUGACGGUACCGGAGGAAGAAGCCCCGGCUAACUUCGUGCCAGCAGCCGCGGUAAUACGAGGGGGGCAAGCGUUGUUCGGAAUUAUUGGGCGUAAAGGGUGCGUAGGCGGUUCGGUAAGUCUUAUGUGAAAUCUUCAGGCUCAACUUGAAGUCUGCAUGAGAAACUGCCGGGCUUGAGUGUGGGAGAGGUGAGUGGAAUUUCCGGUGUAGCGGUGAAAUGCGUAGAUAUCGGAAGGAACACCUGUGGCGAAAGCGGCUCACUGGACCAUAACUGACGCUGAUGCACGAAAGCUAGGGGAGCAAACAGGAUUAGAUACCCUGGUAGUCCUAGCCCUAAACGAUGAUCGCUUGGUGUGACGGGUACCCAAUCCCGCCGUGCCGAAGCUAACGCGUUAAGCGAUCCGCCUGGGGAGUACGGUCGCAAGGCUGAAACUCAAAGGAAUUGACGGGGGCCCGCACAAGCGGUGGAGCAUGUGGUUUAAUUCGACGCAACGCGAAGAACCUUACCUGGGCUCGAAAUGUACAGGAAUCCGGUGGAAACAUCGGCGCCCCGCAAGGGGCCUGUAUAAUAGGUGCUGCAUGGCUGUCGUCAGCUCGU